rnacentral:rRNA from 1 species
GCGAGGCAAGACCGCGAGGUGGAGCAAAUCGCUAAAAGCCGUCCCAGUUCGGAUCGCAGGCUGCAACCCGCCUGCGUGAAGUUGGAAUUGCUAGUAAUCGCGGAUCAGCAUGCCGCGGUGAAUACGUUCCCGGGCCUUGUACACACCUCCCGUCACACCAUGAGAGUCGGGAACACCCGAAGUCCGUAGUCUAACCGCAAGGAGGGCGCGGCCGAAGGUGGGUUCGAUAAUUGGGGUGAAGUCGUAACAAGGUACC